ensembl:antisense Gm16180 predicted gene 16180
AGAAAAUGCAGCAGAGGUGAUAAACAAGGCCUGAUUCAAAGCCUGAACAUAAUCGUCACCCUAUCUAUGAGGCAAUCGGCUCAGCGGGAUUACUGAGGGUUGAGUAAGAUGUCAAGUGCAGAGGAAAGAGCAGCAGACCCCAGCUCAGUGCCCCUGAGCCUCAGCACGGAAGUUCUUCAGGAAGUGACUGACAGGGGAAAAAAAAGUCACAUCAGAAUGAAUGUAUUGGUUUUGUGUUUACCCACCUCCCUGGCUGACUCCACUUCCUUGGCCUGUCCUCCGGGCUACCAAUUAAAGUCUAAUUCCCUUUUA